CCUCAUCUGCCGACUAUCACAUACAUCGUUCUAAACCCUAGCCUCUCCUUCACCCCCUAUCUAUCUAUUGCAAUCGGUUUACAUGGAUUAGAUUAAAUCAGACGAAUCAUUCCCAUUUCGAUCAGUGGCGAUCAUGUCUGGAAAGUAGCGGGUGCGUGUGGUGUGUUAUGUUUGAUUGUAGGUCUCCUUAAAGUUUAUCUUACGUUGUAGGAUUUCCAAGAACACUUGAAGAUCUUCAUCUUCUUAGGUAAUUCUUAAUAUUAAUAAUAAUCUCAUUUUUUAUGUUGUUUUUAUGUAUUAUUGGGAUUUUAAACAUUUCAUUAAUUUGUAUGUGAUAAUUGAUUAA
rnacentral:lncRNA from 1 species